rnacentral:rRNA from 1 species
GGAUAACCUACCCUUAGGACUGGGAUAACCCUGGGAAACUGGGGAUAAUACUAGAUAGGCAAUUUUUCCUGGAAUGGUUUUUUGUUUAAAUGUUUUUUCGCCUAAGGAUGGGUCUGCGGCCGAUUAGGUAGUUGGUUAGGUAACGGCUUACCAAGCCAUUGAUCGGUACGGGUUGUGAGAGCAAGAGCCCGGAGAUGGAACCUGAGACAAGGUUCCAGGCCCUACGGGGUGCAGCAGGCGCGAAACCUCCGCAAUGUGAGAAAUCGCGACGGGGGGAUCCCAAGUGCCAUUCUUAACGGGAUGGCUUUUCAUUAGUGUAAAGAGCUUUUGGAAUAAGGGCUGGGCAAGACCGGUGCCAGCCGCCGCGGUAACACCGGCAGCUCUAGUGGUAGCAGUUUUUAUUGGGCCUAAAGCGUCCGUAGCCGGUUUAAUAAGUCUCUGGUGAAAUCCUGUAGCUUAACUGUGGGAAUUGCUGGAGAUACUAUUAGACUUGAGACCGGGAGAGGUUAGAGGUACUCCCAGGGUAGAGGUGAAAUUCUGUAAUCCUGGGAGGACCGCCUGUUGCGAAGGCGUCUAACUGGAACGGUUCUG